AUUGAACGCUGGCGGCAGGCCUAACACAUGCAAGUCGAGCGGAUGAAGGGAGCUUGCUCCUGGAUUCAGCGGCGGACGGGUGAGUAAUGCCUAGGAAUCUGCCUGGUAGUGGGGGAUAACGUCCGGAAACGGGCGCUAAUACCGCAUACGUUCUGAGGGAGAAAGUGGGGGAUCUUCGGACCUCACGCUAUCAGAUGAGCCUAGGUCGGAUUAGCUAGUUGGUGGGGUAAAGGCCUACCAAGGCGACGAUCCGUAACUGGUCUGAGAGGAUGAUCAGUCACACUGGAACGGAGACACGGUCCAGACUCCUACGGGAGGCAGCAGAGGGGAAUUUUGGACAAGGGGCGAAAGCCUGAUCCAGCCAUGCCGGGUGUGGGAAGAAGGUUUUCGGAUUUUAAAGCACUUUAAGUGGGGAGGAAGGGCAGUAAGUUAAUACCUUGCUGUUUUGACGUUACCAACAGAGUAAGCACCGGCUAACUUCGUG
rnacentral:rRNA from 1 species